UACGGGGGGGGCAAGCGUUGUUCGGAAUUACUGGGCGUAAAGGGCUCGUAGGUGGCCAACUAAGUCAUACGUGAAAUCCCUCGGCUUAACCGGGGAACUGCGUCUGAUACUGGAUGGCUUGAGGUUGGGAGAGGGAUGCGGAAUUCCAGGUGUAGCGGUGAAAUGCGUAGAUAUCUGGAGGAACACCGGUGGCGAAGGCG
rnacentral:rRNA from 1 species